CCUACGGGAUGCAGCAGUAGGGAAUCUUCGGCAAUGGACGAAAGUCUGACCGAGCAACGCCGCGUGAGUGAAGAAGGUUUUCGGAUCGUAAAACUCUGUUGUUAGAGAAGAACAAGUAGGAGAGUAACUGCUCUUACCUUGACGGUAUCUAACCAGAAAGCCACGGCUAACUACGUGCCAGCAGCCGCGGUAAUACGUAGGUGGCAAGCGUUGUCCGGAUUUAUUGGGCGUAAAGCGAGCGCAGGCGGUCUUUUAAGUCUGAUGUGAAAGCCCUCGGCUCAACCGAGGAAGGUCAUUGGAAACUGGAGGACUUGAGUGCAGAAGAGGUAAGUGGAAUUCCGAGUGUAGAGGUGAAAUUCGUAGAUAUUCGGAGGAACACCAGUGGCGAAGGCGGCUUACUGGUCUGCAACUGACGCUGAGGCGCGAAAGCGUGGGGAGCAAACAGGAUUAGAUACCCGCGUAGUC
rnacentral:rRNA from 1 species